GUGUCAGCCGCCGCGGUAAUACAGAGGGUGCGAGCGUUGUCCGGAAUCACUGGGCGUAAAGGGCGCGUAGGCGGCUUGGCAAGCGUGCGGUGAAAGCUCUGGGCUCAACCCCGAGUCUGCCGUGCGAACUGCCGGGCUUGAGCACAGUAGAGGCAGAUGGAAUUCCGGGUGUAGCGGUGGAAUGCGUAGAGAUCCGGAAGAACACCGGUGGCGAAGGCGGUCUGCUGGGCUGUGUCUGACGCUGAGGCGCGACAGCGUGGGGAGCAAACAGGAUUAGAAACCCCUGUAGUCC
rnacentral:rRNA from 1 species